AUGGGUUAUCUAGCCUGGAUUGGAUAUUUAUUUUAUAUGUUUUACAACUUAUUUUUUGUCACAAUUAAGGAUUAUAUUUAUUUUCUGCUUAGCAUCUAUGAAACUUUGCAAUGGUUGAAUAUAAGUAUGUAUCUCUUGAUUUCACUCAUUCCCACAUAUGCUGGAGCAUUAUUCUUCAUAACCCAAUUAUACUAUGCCCUAAAAAAAGGUGUGCAUCUAAUUUAUGGAAAAAAAGCAAAAGAUAAUGAAAUGGCCAUGAUAAUUUUAGCCAUAAAAGAGGAGAUGAUGCAACUAAAGAAAAUGAAGCAACUGACUGAAGAGAAACAAUGUGGCAAAGGUAUUAACACACAACAAGACAUACCUAAAAAUAACAAUGUAGUUCAGCAAGAAAAUACAGAUGGGGCUGAAAGUGGAAUACCAAUAUUGCCACUAAGAGAUCAAACAAGCCUACAACCAGAUAGUGGCAUAAUUCAUAUUAAAACACAUAAACCAUUUACAACAGCUGACCUUGAUAGUCUGAAAAAACAGAUGCCUUCCUGGUUUUCAGAACCGAUGAGAUGUUUAAAAGAAUUUAAAAGAGCAAUUAGACUUUAUGAUCCAGAUUUCCAGGACACUGAAAGUCUUCUCUCAGAAUUAUUUUCAAAAAGGGAAAAACAACAAUUCAUUGAUGAAACAAGAAACAAUCCAAAUUUAACAUCAUGGCCAGAGGAAGGAACAGACUUAGAGUUAUCUAAUAAUGAAAAUCUACGUUACCUAAGAAAGGCCAGAGAAGACUUAUUAGAGGCAAUGAAAAGUUUUUCAAAAAGACCAGAUACUUGGGGACUAUUUGAGAAAUUGAGACAGGAAAAUGGGGAACAUCCAUCAAAAUUCCUCGAUAGAGUGAUUGAAGUAGCAGAGGAUGCGCUUGGAUUUGAAAAUUUAACUGAACAAAAUCUCCAACACAUAAGGAGACAAUUUGUGAAAGGCAGUAACACACCUAUUAGAUCAUAUUUUAAACUUCAGUGCCCAGAUUGGGAAACACUAAGUCUGGAAGAUUUAAGAAAAACUGCAACUUACAUAUUUUCAGGUCAUAAAGAAAUGCUAGAGAAAAAGGAUUAA
rnacentral:lncRNA from 1 species